GCCGGGAUAGCUCAGCUGGGAGAGCGACAGACUGAAGUCUACUGUUGUAGGCAAUGUUCUGCAGGUCAGGUGUUCAAUCCACCUUCCUGGCA